GAUGAACGCUGGCGGCGUGCCUAAUACAUGCAAGUCGAGCGAACGGACGAGAAGCUUGCUUCUCUGAUGUUAGCGGCGGACGGGUGAGUAACACGUGGAUAACCUACCUAUAAGACUGGGAUAACUUCGGGAAACCGGAGCUAAUACCGGAUAAUAUUUUGAACCGCAUUGUUCAAAAGUGAAAGACGGUCUUGCUGUCACUUAUAGAUGGAUCCGCGCUGCAUUAGCUAGUUGGUAAGGUAACGGCUUACCAAGGCAACGAUGCAUAGCCGACCUGAGAGGGUGAUCGGCCACACUGGAACUGAGACACGGUCCAGACUCCUACGGGAGGCAGCAGUAGGGAAUCUUCCGCAAUGGGCGAAAGCCUGACGGAGCAACGCCGCGGGAGUGAUGAAGGUCUUCGGAUCGUAAAACUCUGUUAUUAGGGAAGAACAUAUGUGUAAGUAACUGUGCACAUCUUGACGGUACCUAAUCAGAAAGCCACGGCUAACUACGUG
rnacentral:rRNA from 1 species